rnacentral:rRNA from 1 species
ACACAUGCAAGUCGGACGGCAGCACAGAGAAGCUUGCUUCUUGGGUGGCGAGUGGCGAACGGGUGAGUAACAUAUCGGAACGUACCGAGCAGUGGGGGAUAACUAAUCGAAAGAUUAGCUAAUACCGCAUAUAUUCUGAGGAAGAAAGCAGGGGACCAUUUGGCCUUGCGCUGUUUGAGCGGCCGAUAUCUGAUUAGCUAGUUGGUGGGGUAAAGGCCUACCAAGGCGACGAUCAGUAGCGGGUCUGAGAGGAUGAUCCGCCACACUGGGACUGAGACACGGCCCAGACUCCUACGGGAGGCAGCAGUGGGGAAUUUUGGACAAUGGGCGCAAGCCUGAUCCAGCCAUGCCGCGUGUCUGAAGAAGGCCUUCGGGUUGUAAAGGACUUUUGUCAGGGAAGAAAAGGGCGGGGUUAAUACCCCUGUCUGAUGACGGUACCUGAAGAAUAAGCACCGGCUAACUAC